GCGUUCACAGGAGUCCCCGGACACCUCCCACUCGGGAGAUAGUUAACGGGGGUCCUGCCAACCCUUCCCAUCCAACUUCCAUCUGAAAAGGAUUUUCUGCUAAAGUUGGGUCCAUGGCCAUCCAGCACCUAUAAGGCCGGCAGGAGCGUCUGCCCUCUACUCAGUUAAAGCCUGAAGUCGUUUCCUUUCGAUGGCGCUUAGGAGGCCCAAAAGAGGGGCGACAGAACAUGAUGUGACACGGGCCGGGCGCCCCCAGAAGCCCGGGAACAAACGUUUCUACUUUCCAGGUCCACUGGUGUUUGGUGUACCCAUGUGACUAAUUUGUCCAAAGAGAGGUCUCAGCUGAAAUGAAACCUCCUCAGAAAAAUUUGUUCCUGACAAAUUAUAACUCAAAAAUCAAAAAUUUCUAAGACCUUUGUUAUUCUCUUUAUCAUAGCAUUGUACUCAUUUUCUUCUUAGUACUUAGAAAUGUCUAUAAUUGUUUUACUUCUUUGUUUACCAUUAAAUGUCUGUAUCCUUUA
rnacentral:lncRNA from 1 species